GAGGAGGAGUGUGGACAGGGAUGCCUGUGGACAGGGCAAACAAUGAUCAGCAUUGAUACUUUCAGGCUUUCAAGCAGCAGUUCAGCUGAGAGCCAUUCGGAUAUGAGGACACAGAGGCUUCCAGUCUGAGGAACAAGAUCAGCUGAGAAGUUGGCCAGGUGUCUCUCCACACCCCAGCACAUGGAGAUGGAUUUUUACUGAUUUCCUCGCUCAGCCCGGGGCUGUGACUGUAAGCAACAGAAGUCUACUCACCGCCACUUAGGCACAGGAGGCUUGCUAUGAGGAUAUACAUUGUGCUCAUCAAAAUAAAAUAGAGUCUGAUCUCAUGAAGAAUGGAGUUGAAAGGUUAUGUUUGACAAAUCUCUGGACACAGCCAGAUAAUUUUGCAUUUCUAGAUUCAGUGAACCACAUGACAAAAGUUAAUUAAACUGGCUGGGGUCGGAGUAUCUGCUGGUGGAUCGGGAACACUGUCUCUUUCCUCAGAAUAAUCGCGGCCCACGUAGACGCCUCCAAGCCCUCCUUGUUGUUUAAUAAAUAUGCCAUUCAUUCCUUUACUUAGAGAUCCUCACAAACCACUGUUUUAAAAUUAUCAGUAAAGGCAUUUAAGGAUCACACCUUCCCAACAA